GACGAACGCUGGCGGCGUGCUUAACACAUGCAAGUCGAACGGAAAGGCCCUGCUUUUGUGGGGUGCUCGAGUGGCGAACGGGUGAGUAACACGUGAGUAACCUGCCCUUGACUUUGGGAUAACUUCAGGAAACUGGGGCUAAUACCGGAUAGGAGCUCCUGCUGCAUGGUGGGGGUUGGAAAGUUUCGGCGGUUGGGGAUGGACUCGCGGCUUAUCAGCUUGUUGGUGGGGUAGUGGCUUACCAAGGCUUUGACGGGUAGCCGGCCUGAGAGGGGGACCGGCCACAUUGGGACUGAGAUACGGCCCAGCCUACUAUGGGAGGCAGCAGUGGAGAAUAUUGCAUAAUGGGCGGAAGCCUGAUGCAGUAACGCAGCGUGCGGGAUGACGGCCUUCGGGUUGUAAACCGAUUUCGCCUGUGACGAAGCGUGAGUGACGGUAAUGGGUAAAGAAGCACCGGCUAACUACGUG
rnacentral:rRNA from 1 species